GUGACGUACGGUGCCAUGCCUGUAUGUACGUAUGCUACUAGUAUAUCCCCUCGUCGCGAGGGAAUAAGGAAGGAGUGUCUGCAACAGAAGGAUUGGUAAAUUCGGCCCAUUAUGAUUAGCUUUGAUUAUCCGUAACAGACCCGGUGUGUUUACAAAACCUCAUUGAUGUAUGGAUGCACACACUUAGAGUCGUGUUCUCAAUAAUGGGCCUAUAGAGAACACUGCUUGACAGUUGUCAUAUCACACGACGAUAUCCCACACCAUCUAAUGAAGUUAUCACCGCCAAACCUGACUACAGUAUGACCUAUAAGUAUAAUGAACACUGGCUGUGGCCGUUGCUAUGGAACAGACGACAAAAACACAGAAUUCAACACCAAGAUGCAAAUAUUGUC
rnacentral:lncRNA from 1 species